GACGAACGCUGGCGGCGUGCUUAACACAUGCAAGUCGAGCGGUAAGGCCCUUUCGGGGGUACACGAGCGGCGAACGGGUGAGUAACACGUGGGUGACCUGCCUUUAGCUCUGGGAUAAGCCUGGGAAACCGGGUCUAAUACCGGAUAUGACUCCGCGGCGCAUGUUGUGGGGUGGAAAGCCUUGUGCGGCUGGAGAUGGGCCCGCGGCCUAUCAGCUUGUUGGUGGGGUGAUGGCCUACCAAGACGACGACGGGUAGCCGGCCUGAGAGGGCGACCGGCCACACUGGGACUGAGACACGGCCCAGACUCCUACGGGAGGCAGCAGUGGAGAAUCUUGCGCAAUGGGCGAAAGCCUGACGCAGCGACGCCGCGUGAGGGAUGACGGCC
rnacentral:rRNA from 1 species